rnacentral:lncRNA from 1 species
GGUUCUCUCUGUACUGGAAGUCCUGUUGUCAAUCACCUUCCAACCUUAAGAGCUGAGCACUGCAUUCCCAAGCAGGGGAAGGUGGGUCACACACAUGAUCAGCUUUAUUGGCUGCUAAAACUUGAUGGUGGAGCAGCCGAUUGAUGCCUAAAUACCCCUAAAUGGCUUGGUCCUCUUUAACCAGCAUGUUGACUCCUGAAACAAUCU